CUCUCUCUCUCUCGGAAUUUGGUUUGAUUAAUCGAGAGUGGAGUUGAUGAAGAAUAUAGACAAUAUGUCGGAUAAGGGUCGAACGUUGCCGGUUGACCCGAACCUCCCCCGAUGGGCCUGCCAGAACUGCCGCCAACACCUCUGUAUCGUCGGCGUCGAGUCCUACGCCGACAAGUUCUUCUCCGAUCCCUAUUCUCGCUCCGGAAUGCAGGGUUCUACGAUCCAUGGUGCAGGAAGCGUGUUAGGGUCAACACGAAUGGACCAUUCAUUUGUUGUAUUGCCCAAGCAAAGAAGUCAGGCACCAGGGAUACCACCCCGUCCUCGUGGAGGAGGGCUGCAGCCUGAUUCAAGUCAGUUGGGAAAAGCAAUGGAAGAGUCAUUUGUGGUGUUGCCUCCACCCGCGGCAUCUGUAUACAAGAGUGACUCUACAUUGGAUGGAGGUGGGUCCCAAUUACCAUCACCUGAGGGUGGAGUGACUGCUCCCAUGCAGCCGAACGAUUCUGGGUUCCACUCAACCAUAACUGUCCUGAAGCGUGCCUUUGAUAUUGCCACAACCCAAACCCAAGUCGAACAACCUUUGUGCCUUGAGUGCAUGAGGGUGUUAUCUGACAAACUUGACAAGGAGGUUGAAGAUGUGAACAGAGACAUUGAAGCUUAUGAAGCUUGUCUUCAACGUUUGGAGGGGGAGGCACGGAAUGUUCUUAGUGAGGCUGACUUCCUAAAGGAGAAACUGAAGAUUGAAGAGGAGGAACGGAAACUUGAAGCUGCAAUUAAGGAGACAGAAAAACAGUGUGAGAAAGUAACUGCUGAAAUGAAGGAAUUGGAGUUAAAAUCUAGCCGUUUCAAAGAGUUGGAGGAGCGGUAUUGGCAUGAGUUCAACAAUUUUCAGUUUCAAUUAACUUCACAUCAGGAAGAGAGGGAUGCAAUUUUAGCCAAGAUUGAAGUUUCCCAAGCACAUUUGGAGUUGUUGAAGCGGACUAACGUUCUUAGUGAUGCCUUUCCCAUCUGGUAUGAUGGAGAAUUUGGAACAAUCAACAACUUCCGAUUGGGAAGACUUCCUAAAAUUCCGGACCAGUAUUCGGGGAUGAUGAUUGGCAAUGCUAAGGAACAAGAUGGUCUUUACUAUAUUUCAAAAAAUGUUCCAGAAUACCAAAGUUCUCCAACCAAUGAAGCAGUUCUUGUUAUAAUAGCUAAUGCCAAUGUUCUGUUAUGCCAUAAACGACUAGAACACCCUAGUUUUCCAUAUUUAAAAUCCUCGUAUCCUCACAUUUUCAUUAAUAAAGAGCAAUCUUCUUUUAAGUGUGAGCAAUGUACUCUUGUUAAACAAUCUCGCUCUCAUUAUUCUAUACAACCCUAUAAACUAUCUAAACUUUUUCACUUGAUUCAUAGUGAUAAUUGGGUCCUGCUAAGCAUCCCAAUAUCUCUUAUACCCAUUGGUUUAUAACCUUUAUUGACGAUCAUACUAUAGUUUGCUGAGUUUAUUUUAUGAGAGAAAAGUUAGAGGCCAAUACCAUUUUCAAAAAGUUUCACAAACUUAUCUUGAAUGUGUUUCAAUCUCCUAUUUAUGUCAUUCGAAUUGAUAACGAUCGAGAAUAUUUCUCUCAUGAUUUCACUCAAUAUUUAUCUGAACAUGGCAUAUUCCAUCAGAGUUCAUGUCCAUACACCCCUCAACAAAAUGGGGUGGCUGAAAGAAAAAACAAACAUCUUCUCAAGGUGGCACGAACCAUGAUGUUCACUACUUGUGGUCUUAAUUCCUAUUGGGGAGAAGCUAUUCUUAUAGCUUCUUACCUCACUACUUAAGUGUAUCUUUGUUGGAUAUUUUCCUUCCCAAAAAGGAUACAAGUGCUAUUGCCCCUCCUCUCGAAAGUUUUUUGUGUCCCCUAAUGUAAUUUUCUAUGAGGAUCAACCUUUCUAUCCUCUUAUAUCUUUUCCAGGGGAGACUACAAAGUGCAGAGUGGCAUUGGGAUCUCACCAUCUCUCUCCCUAUGCCCGAUCCUAUUAACUCUCAGCUACUAGUGUGUUCUCAAGGGGGAGCAUUAGCAUCAACUCCUAAAAAUACUUGUAGUAGCUCCUGAACCUUCUGUUACUUUCAUUAAUGAUCCAGAAAACCUCACUACAACUCUCUCCCUAUACCCGAUCCUAUUAACUCUCAGCUACUAGUGUGUUCUCAAGGGGGAGCAUUAGCAUCAACUCCUAAAAACACUUGUAGCAGCUCUUGAACCUUCUGUUACUUUCUUUAAUGAUCCAGAAAACCUCACUACAGCUCCUAAAACCCGCCUUCCAACUCUUGAUAAUCCUCUUCUAGUUUAUUCCAAGCAGCCUAAAGAUCAUCAACAACCUCAUGUCCUUAGCACAACCAAACAUUGAAUUCAAAGCCUAGUCCAUCUGAGGACAACACUACAAGGAUUGGUGAUUUGGUUGGUGAUUGGGCUAUUCCUAUAACACUGCGAAACAGGGUUGAAUGGGAUGAGAUAAAUGCUGCUUGGGGCCAAGCUUGCCUUCUUCUCCACACAAUGGCUCAAUAUUUUCGGCCUAAAUUCCCAUAUCGGAUAAAGAUUCUUCCAAUGGGGAGCUAUCCUCGAAUUAU